GCCCAGUAUUUAAGCCUGACUGCUAUCAAUAGUGCAAACCUGUUCCUUCUUGUCAAGCUACAACUACGGAGCUUUAUAAGCACUGAGAGGGAAGCAAAAAGCUGAACUUGUGAAGUUUUCGCGUCGAAGAGACCAACGUCGCUGUAAGAAAUGGCUGCCAAUGAUCUCACUGCUGCAAUCGAGCUCUGCGCUCGUGAGCUCCGCCAAGCUGGAGACGAACUCUACUGGAGAUACAAGCUCCUGGAAAUACUGAUCAAGAACUACAAGACUGUCGCCAAAAUAAGAUGAGAUGUCCGACCACAUCGAGAGGGAUCGGAUGUUUUAAAACUGGAAGGCGGUGAGCCAAAGCAGAAGAGUCUUGGAUAUAGACUCAUCCCGGAUGGGAAUAUGGCGGCUCUCAAGUGGGAUGUACAUACACUUGUGGAACUUGUGGAAACACCUUGCUGGAGUCCCUGGAUAGGGACUGGCAGUGGACUUGCUUGAACACCGGAGCUUUACGGAGAAAUAAAACAUGGCGGAUGGUGUUGCUCCACUGAUUCAGACCGGCGGCUGAGUGGACCAAAGAGGAACAUCAGAAUGGAAGUCGUCUGCUCCAGAUGCUGAUAGUCACAUGUACAUACUGUAUGUGGACAUUAAUGCACAUUGUACUCUGUUAUAAGGCUGUCACGUUCAUGUUAACUGAAGAUUUAGAGGACAUGUGAAGCGCUUGUGAAUCUGCUCAAGACUCUUUGAAGAGUAGCUGUUUAAUGGGAGCGCUUAAUGGGUUGCUAAUAAACGAUGCAUAUUCAGUCAACUCA